ACCGUUGACCUCCAGGAGGGGGAGAGUGGCUGGGGGCUGGAUCAGCUGCCCAUCAAGCACGCCUUUGUGAUGAAGCUUCCACAAAGACCCCAAAAUGACAGGGUUUGGAGAGCUUUGGGGUUGGAGGACACAUGGAGAGUGGGGACAGCUCUCCGGCCCUGGAGAGCCUCCACACCUCUCCGCAGUCUUGCCCCACUCGUCUCUCCACCUGGCUGUUCCUGAGCCAUAUCCUUUCUUAAUAACCUGGUAGUCUAGUAAGCAAAAAGAGUUCCGCGACCCCUUGCUGUGACCCUGAGAGCAUCCGCGGUGAGGUUUUAUUACAACGAAAGCACAGUGUCUCCCGCCAUUUGCAUCAGUAGGAUUCGAUCGGUCAUUAAUUCUGCAAAUCAGACGUACAAAGUGUUUGCAGCAUCUUUACCACCAGUUCAAUCCUAUUACAUUUAGGAAUAUUUUCCGAGCCCCCACUGGGGUAGAGUAUGGUUCUUGCAGCUGGUGUGUGGGCAGACAGAGGUAGGCCCCCUGCAGCCCACAGCAACCACAGCCAUCGCUGGUGUGCACUGAGCACGUGCCCGGGGCCUGUCCUGGAUCAAGCGACUUACACGCAUUAGCUCACGGAACGCCCAGAACAGCUCUAAGACCCGCGUUGAUGGACAACGAAGGAACCACCCGGUCCCCGUCUGUAUUUUUGGGGCAUCGGUGCAGCACGGGCUCCAGCAAGACCCUGGGAGAAAGACCCGUGCGGUGAGUCCUCUGCCUUGCACGGCUGGCAACUACUUGCUGAGGGUGAAUAUGUGCAUGCAUUAAAAAUAUGUUUGUAAUUAUCAGCUGCAGUCUAUGCUGAGUCAUUAACGAGGAAGCCAGAGGCAAAGACAAAAUGCUCCAACAGUUCAGAGGACAGUGACAGCAGUGGCAGAGAGCAGGGACACUCGGGAGAAGGUGGGACAUGAGCCGCCCUUGAAAGGAAGGGAGAGUGCUCGGGGACUCUCUGGGGUCAGUCCACUUUUUAACUACAACCAAGCCCCGAGGGUACAAUGAGAAUCUUCCAGAUGUCUCACUGGCUCGUCCUUCAAGUCCUCCAAGGUCACCACCCGUCCCACAUCAACCAAUUUGGGGAUUGCAGGACAACAUCCUUUAUGAGCAAAGGAUUUGUUCCAAAUUUCGCUUAUUUUAUUGAUCAUACUGUCAGAGCCACCAGGUUGUAAGCAUCGCUAAUCAUCCCAAAUGAAAAGCACCAGGAAGUUCCCCCAGGUAUUGCAGGGCACGACCUGGCGCACAGAUGGUAGAUUGGCUUAGCAUGUGAUGAAGGCCACCGCACCUUACAUAAAUCAGUGGCUGUUUGAUACCCUGUAGGAAUGGGGUGGGAGUGUUUGGAGGAGCGCAGUGUGAGACACCCACGGGACAAGUGGAAGGUGUUCUGAAGCCCGUGAAGUCACAUGGGUGUAGUGUGGGCGCUUGUUCUCCAUCCAGAAGGCAUCCCACUGCAGGUGGGGCGGGGAGGAGGCCCUGCGGCAGGGAUGCAGAGGAUUCCCUGAGGGGUCUGAUUCACUCAUGAAGCUGUUGCAGAGUUCCUCAGACAGCAGCCUUAGACAUCCGAGAACUCUAGAGUUUCAAGGGUGGCAUAGGACGAGAGCAGAGGCCCACAUCGAGCUAGAGCCAAGUCUCUUGCAGGCAGUGGGAUCCCUGGUCUGGGGGACAGAAAGGCAGAGGACUGCGUUAUGACCGCGAAGUGUCUAGAGGGCCACCUGGGGACAGAAGAAAUGAAAAUGGGUUGACAAUGUCACCUGCUGCUUUGGGGUCAGAGACAAGAGGCCACCUAAGGCACUGAGGGAGUCACUACGGGAGCGUACGGUGCCAUGCAGGUCAGCCUGUAUACGUGGUCCCCGUUUUCUGAACCCCGGAACACUCUCUUUUACGUGCGUAUUCCCAUUGUAGACUUUGUCACUUCACCGUUUUACUGUCUUCCCUGUAACGUCACACGAUGUUGGCCUGUGCCCUGGGACAGCUGCUUAGCUGUGUGGACGGCUCUGUUGACCUGGUCCUCCGUCCCAUCCUCACCGCCCCUCUGCGCGGCAGCACAGGAGGUGUUUUCAGAUACAGCUCAUCCUGCCUCACACCCCCUUGGACAAGACAAGCCAGUUAACGGAUUGCUUGUCUCAUGCUGACUUGCAUGUAGUCAAUCAACAAUGCCCUUGGAAGGUUGCUCUGGGGACAGGACUCGAAAACGGAGCAAAAUGUGGAAUAAAGUAUUUAGGUUACAAGGGAGGUGCAUUUCAUGGCAGUGGAUCAAGCGGAUAUCAUAAUGGAUGUUCUAGACAUCGAGCCCCAGACUCACAAAGUUCCGAGAGCCUCCACCCAGAAACAGCCACAGAAGAUCUCACUCCUGAUACUAUUUUGAAUUGCUUACCGUUAUGUCUUCUGAAGGCUCUUUCCUCCCCCUCUCACCCAGCGAGCACCUCCCAGCUGGUGUCUGUUGAGUGUAGCACACGAGGGUGUGUGUGCUUUGGAACCAAAGAAAGUUUACCUACUCAUGACAAAAAUCAUGACUCCACCUUCUGAGACUAUGGACUGGAAUUGCAUUGUUGGCCCAUGGGAAAGGAAGGCAGGGAGCUGCACAAGCAUCCACACUGGCAUUACAAGUCGCAUGCAGCAGAAAGAAAUAAUUAACAGCUUCUAUGCCAUCCUCAGUGGACAACUCAUGGAUGGACUGUGAGCCUAGAAAGUUCAACUCACUCUCUCUCUAGCAUGAAAGACAGAGGCCACUUGGCAAAGAGCACUUACUUACUGUGUAUGUGACACUGCAGAAUCAGAGUUAUAAAGGAUUUUGAGUUAAUGGCCACACAUGGAGAAAUCCCAGGCCGGACUCUUUGGGGGAACUUGCAUUGUCCCCUGGCCACUAGCUCUGGAGCUGGGUGAGGAUCGCCCUGGAAGGAUGGGUUUCUCCAGGUCCUACCAUUGGCCACCCACGCCAAGUCCCACAUGAGUUACCAUCGGCCAUUAGGCUGCUAUGUUCCUUUCUUUUACUACAAAACCCUUCUCCUGAGUGUCUGACUCGUAAUCCAAACUGGUAAAAUGAAAUACAGACUAAGAGAGACAUUAUCCUCACUCUGACUUACAUUGACAGGUUGGCCUCUGAAGGCAUCUGAAUUUGCGAUAAGUAGGGCCGUCUGUCAGGUCAAAAGCCACAUCUAGUUCAAGAGUCCCCAUGCAUCCCUCUGUCCUUUCUGGGCCUUGACCUGGGGCUUACUCUGUGCUAAGCACUUGGACCCCAAUUUCCUUGCUGCUCCUCAGACCCUUCCCUUCUGUAACCCUGGGUUACAGACUGUUAUCGACUUGAGCUUGAUUUUGUUAUCCACACCCUACUUUCAGAAUGAACUUGGGAAAAAAAAAAAAAAGAAUGAACUUGGAUGACUUUGUUUCCACCUACUCUUCUU